rnacentral:tRNA from 1 species
GCCCGUAUAGCUCAGCGGGAGAGCGCCGCCUUCACACGGCGGAUGCCCCAGGUUCGAUCCCUGGUGCGGGCAC